GGCUCUUUUUUGGAGUUUUGGGUCAUUCGAUAGAUUAUAUUUCCAUCACCUUUCUUCGGGUUUACUUUUAGAAGGUCAAAACUAGUUUGGCCAGCUAGGGGAGAGACUAUUUUCUGCUUAAAAAAAGAGCUUGGAAGUUCUAGAAUAAUUUCUUCGGGUACUAGUUUCCUCUCCCAACAAGGGUGGUCAACCUUGAGGGGAGCAUGACAAACUGUUUUUCCCAUUAGUAGAGGAGGUUAACUAUUUGCCUCAUAACUGUAGUUUCAUAUACCUUUCCCGUUGAUGCCUUUAAUGAAUUGAAUCUUGAGCUUCCCAGUGAGACCAAGGAGUUAAACAAUAAUUUGAGUACUAGUUUCACUUUGUAGAUCAGUCUAUUAACCACUUCUAUUAGUUACCGAGUUUCAUUCACGUAAGUUGACCUUACUCUG